UAAGGAAUAUUGGUCAAUGGACGCAAGUCUGAACCAGCCACGCCGCGUGGAGGAUGAAGGUCCUCUGGAUUGUAAACUUCUUUUAUCUGGGACGAAACACUUCUUUUCUAAGAGGCCUGACGGUACCAGAUGAAUAAGCACCGGCUAACUCCGUGCCAGCAGCCGCGGUAAUACGGAGGGUGCAAGCGCUAUCCGGACUUACUGGGUUUAAAGGGUGCGUAGGCGGAUGAAUAAGUCAGUGGUGAAAUCUCCGAGCUUAACUCGGAAACUGCCGUUGNUACUAUUUGUCUUGAAUAUUGUGGAGGUAAGCGGAAUAUGUCAUGUAGCGGUGAAAUGCUUAGAUAUGACAUAGAACACCAAUUGCGAAGGCAGCUUGCUACACAAUCAUUGACGCUGAGGCACGAAAGCGUGGGGAUCAAACA
rnacentral:rRNA from 1 species